rnacentral:snoRNA from 1 species
GUCGACAAUACUUCAGAGAAUCAUUUCUAUAGUAAUUGUCCUCUUCCCGGUUCUUUAAACGAGCCACAGAUCCCACCCGGGUUGAUGACUUUUUAUAUCCUCGGCUUACCCAAUUUCUUUGCGAAGAAAAAACAAGAACCAUCUUGGUGGCCCCUUUUUUUGACCCUCGACACUGCCUGCAAAGGCGGCGGGGACCUUGGAAGCCGAGCGGAAGGACGGAGUUUCCGUUCUUUUCAGCACGGUUUCCUUGGACCCUGUAUUCUAGAGGGUGGUGAUGAGCUAUGCCCUGGACUGGAGGUCUUGUCUCCAUUUUUGGAGCGCUCUGCCAGGGCGGGUGUCGAUGGACGUCUGACCGGU